AUGACCAGGCAUCCGGUCUUCCUAUUGACAAAUUACAGGCUCACUUCUUCCUUUACAAUCCUUGUUGCAUUGCAUUGUAGGGGUUUCACGAGUUGAAAUAUGGUGACUUUCUAGGAUGCAAGCAGCUAACUCGCACCUUUUUAAAGUAAGGAGCCUGUAUAACUUAUCGUAUUAGAUUAUAUCGAUGAGAUCUUGUUAGAAAAAACUUGUUAUUACAAAUACAGGGAGCUUGUGACCGGUGGUGGUGGUGGAAAUAAUUUGGAAGUCAUGAUUUUACAUGACUGUGAGCAUCUCAAACAAGUGGCAGUUAGGCAGUUUAUAGAAGCUCUUAUUGCAGGAAAUUUGAGACUCCUAAAACAUCUUGACAUAUCAAACAUAAAAGGUCCAGCACUUGAUGGAGGGACCCAAAGAAGUUUUGGUGUGAGGUGUAUUAUGUAAAUUUACCAUCCUUUCUUUUUUUGUAUGUAAAGGCCUAAUUUCUGCCUUGUGGUUGAAUUUCCCGACCCAAGGUUAGUGUAUUUAUGUUGUUUUUUGGUGAAAUGAUGACCAUGACACUCUUCUCUACCUUUGCAGUUGACCAAACUUUAAAGUUGCAGGCAUUAUCUAUCAAUCUACACGUUUCUAUAUUUUUCAAGUGCAAUUGUACAA